AUUCUACUCCCUCCAUUCCACAAUACAUGCCUUCUAUUUGUGAAAAUAUAGAUGUAUCUAGACAUGUUUUUGUAUAUAGGUACAUCCAUUUUUGGACAAAUGGAAGUCAAGUAUUUUGGAAUGGAGGGAGUACACA
rnacentral:pre_miRNA from 1 species